GAUAGCUGUGCUCUGAGGAAAUAACAAUAGUCACACCCCAUGUCAUUUCAUCAGGCCAUAGCUGUCCA
rnacentral:pre_miRNA from 1 species